rnacentral:hammerhead_ribozyme from 1 species
AUCCAGCAAACAAGUCCGAAAUAGGACGAAACGCGUGUCCUGGAU